rnacentral:tRNA from 1 species
GGGUGAUUAGCUCAGCUGGGAGAGCACCUCCCUUACAAGGAGGGGGUCGGCGGUUCGAUCCCGGCACGACCCACCA